rnacentral:rRNA from 1 species
AUUGAACGCUGGCGGCAUGCUUUACACAUGCAAGUCGAACGGCAGCGCGGGCUUCGGCCUGGCGGCGAGUGGCGAACGGGUGAGUAAUACAUCGGAACGUGCCCAGUAGUGGGGGAUAGCUCGGCGAAAGCCGGAUUAAUACCGCAUACGACCUGAGGGUGAAAGCGGGGGAUCUUCGGACCUCGCGCUAUUGGAGCGGCCGAUGGCAGAUUAGCUAGUUGGUGGGGUAAAGGCCUACCAAGGCGACGAUCUGUAGCUGGUCGGAGAGGACGACCAGCAACACUGGGACUGAGACACGGCCCAGACUCCUACGGGAGGCAGCAGUGGGGGAUUUUGGACAAUGGGCGCAAGCCGGAUCCAGCAAUGCCGCGUGCAGGAUGAAGGCCUUCGGGUUGUAAACUGCUUUUGUACGGAACGAAAAGCCCUGGGUUAAUACCCUGGGGUCAUGACGGUACCGUAAGAAUAAGCACCGGCUAACUACGUGCCAGCCGCCGCCGUAA